GCAAUUUACAGGUACUACUUUUCGAUGUUUCCAAAGGGAAAAUUAUUUUCCUCAGUUUCAGUUCAAAUGUUACGGUUGCAUCGUAGCAACAGCUGCUUUUCAAACUUUGUUUAUUUUCUGUCAACAUUUCACCAACAAGUGGGACUUCAAAUCGUUGGCUUUUUUCCUCUGAGAACAAACCGGUGCGGGCAUCUCCGACCACCGAAAAUCCAACGAUCGGAGCUGAUUCCUCCGACGGUGCCAUCCGUUCAGCUUGGAGACGUGUUAGCAAGCCCUCUGGUUGCACACAAAACCUGAUUAACCAUUCCACUAAAGCAAACAAAAACUCUGCAGCGUUCUAGAAUCUGACCGAAACUGUCAGCGCUUUUAUCGGCCACAGCUUUCUCGUGUGGACAAAACUCCAGCAAAGCUUUUCCCGGGGCCCGGUUCUACAAGAACCACGGAGUGCGACAAUCCACCGUUUCCGGAAUAGCUGCUAACUUGCCGGAGGCGAGCGGAAACAUAAAUCUAAUCUAAACACAUGCUGGCCACCAUUAUGAAACGCCUCGAUUUUUGUUGCAACUGUUUCCUGUUCUAUUUUGUUAAUUGAUAAUAACAUGUUGACUCAAUAAAAAUGAUAUCAUACA